GCUACUCAUCAGCUUACCAAGCAAAUGAAUUAUGAUGUAGUAAAGGGAUAAGUACCAAAAACUACCUUGACAUUUCAAGUCUUGUGCACAUCAAAACCUUGUGUUUUUCGGCAUUAAUGUUUUAGAAAGAAAACCAUUAACAUUGUUAGCUUGUGAUCGCAUCGCAUCAACAUGGGUGGAAUAGCAAUAAAAAAAAAAUAUCUUCCCAUUGAAGCGGCAUCCAACUAAGCAUAAUGGGCCUCAAAAUAGAUUAAAAUAUACAAUUAAAAUUUUUAUUCAGAAAAGGAAGUAGGUUUAGAUUUUAAAUUUUUAGUUAAAAUGAAAAAUAAAUUUAGGGGGAAAACUUAAUUUUUCAAUUUAUCUUUUUUCAAGU
rnacentral:misc_RNA from 1 species